AUAUUCUCUUUUUUUUUUUUUUUUCUUUUUUCUUUUUUUUUUUUUUUUCCGUGUUUACAAAAGAAAAGACAGUACUAAAAGUAUUUACAGAAACGCAACGAGGCGGGACCUCUCUGAACGCCACUAACACGGAAGGCAGCCGGCAGCUCCACUCAGACAGGAAUGGACGUUUCGGUGAGCCUCGGGCAAAGCGGAUCACCGGCACGCGACUUCUUUGCUGCUGCUCUGGUGGUGUUUGGAACAAGACAGACAAGAUCAAUCUACUGCAGCAUCAAUAACCAGAGGGGAUCAGAUAUAUCUGUUCCUGUUCAGCACUCUGAAAGGGUACCUAGGGGAAACUAAGCUGGAAGGCACCCUAAAAUGUGAAGUGGAUGCUAGGUCACCCGCACUACCAAUUUCUACAGAUCUGAUCCUGAUGAACCUACACUAUCUGUUAAUCUACUGAUGGUCACAGUUCACUGGAAAGAAGAAGAAAAAAAACACCAAUAACAACAAAAAACAAACCAACAGAAUUUCACACACUUCCAGCUUCAUGGAACAUGGGGUGGAUGGUAAUUGGUGUGGUCUGUUUACUGAAAACUUCAUGUCCUCAAAAGUCACAAGUGCUUCGAGUAUGCAGACAAGCCAGAGAGGAGCUUACAUUUAGAAAGGCUCGCAUGCAGGAGAUGGCAAUGGUUGCCCUGCGAUCUCACUGCUCCUUUGUGAAGCAGGACUGGGCUGAGUGUCCGGGCUAUUUUGAAGGUGUUGGCUUCAACAGCUUCCACUGGCUCACUUCCUCCCAAAGUCAGGAGUUUGGAUUAUGCAGCCAUGCCAGCAGACCAGCCAUGUGAUACAUCUUUGGCAAGGAAACUUUAUUUGAAUUGUGUGCAAGCCGUGUGCAACACAAGGUUAGCCUCUGCUGAAAUAUAAAGCCUAAAAUUAUUUUUGCAGUCCUCUGAGAUGAACUAUAAAUAGUUCUACAGUAUAUACAAUUGAUUUCCUAAAUGUGAUUGAGACUAUUCUAUAUAGAUCAUAAAGAACUGUUUUAAAAUAGUAACAGAAAAUCUUGUUUCAUUUGAUAUGUAAUCUCAGUUUCAUUAUAAAUGAAAUAUUAAGGACUUUCUCAUAGAUUUGCCUUUUUGGAAACAUGAACUUCUUACCAAAAUUUAUCAAUAUACCAAACUCUCACUUAUGUUCGGAAUUUCUUUUUCAGGAAAAAGGAAAACGUUGUAUAAUGUUGAAUAUCAGUGGAAUAUAGUACUUAAGUAUUUCAUUAAUGAACCAUUCUUUUCUCCUAAGCACUUUAAUAAAGGCUGUGUCAAA